GCCAUAUUCCACUGUCCUGAGCAACUUUUUGUCCUUUCUUAUUUAUCUAUCAUUUAAGCAUAAAUGUCAAUCUAUCCUUAAAAGGAAUACAUAAGGAAAUGUUACCUUUAUUAAUUUAUUUUAUUUUAAUUUCUAAUUUUUGUUUUUUGUUAAAAUAAUAUUACUUCUAUAAUGAAUCUACUUCAGCUAGUUCUCACUCAAACAUGUCACCUGGAUCCACAAAUUGUCUACCUUAAUACCUGCAUGACCCUUAACAUUAAUUUAUGCUGUUGGCUUUCACUUU
rnacentral:misc_RNA from 1 species